ACGGCGAGUGAAGCGGCAACAGCUCAAAUUUGUAAUCUGGCCCCUCCGGGGUCCGAGUUGUAAUUUGUAGAGGAUGCUUUUGGGUUGCCGCCGGUCUAAGUUCCUUGGAACAGGACGUCACAGAGGGUGAGAAUCCCGUAUGUGACCGGCAAGGUGCCCUCUGUAAAGCUCCUUCGACGAGUCGGGUUGUUUGGGAAUGCAGCCCUAAGCGGGAGGUAAAUUUCUUCUAAAGCUAAAUACCGGCCAGAGACCGAUAGCGCACAAGUAGAGUGAUCGAAAGAUGAAAAGCACUUUGGAAAGAGAGUCAAAAAGCACGUGAAAUUGUUGAAAGGGAAGCGCUUGCGAUCAGUCUCGACGGCGGCCGUUCGGCCUCCCUUCUGGGUGGUUUACUCGGCCGCCGCCGGGCCAGCAUCGGUUCCGGCGGUCGGAAAAAGACGGCGGGAAUGUAGCUCCCUCGGGAGUGUUAUAGCCCGUCGUGGAAUACGGCCAGCCGGGACCGAGGUCCGCGCUUCGGCUAGGAUGCUGGCGAAAUGGUCGUAAGCGGCCCGUCUUGAAACACGGACCAAGGAGUCUAACAUCUAUGCGAGUGUUCGGGUGUCAAACCCGUGCGCGUAAUGAAAGUGAACGGAGGUGGGAACCCGCAAGGGUGCACCAUCGACCGAUCCUGAUGUCUUCGGAUGGAUUUGAGUAAGAGCAUAGCUGUUGGGACCCGAAAGAUGGUGAACUAUACCUGAAUAGGGUGAAGCCAGAGGAAACUCUGGUGGAGGCUCGCAGCGGUUCUGACGUGCAAAU
rnacentral:rRNA from 1 species